GCCUCGGAAUCCCAAAGCCUUUCCCCGUGCAGGGUUACGAGGCGAAGACUGGUCUCAGUUUCUUGGUGCUGCAUUAAUGCUUUUUGCUCGUUCUGUGUCAGUUUGCAGCCUGGCUCGUGGUUUCCCCUGGUGCUGGGGAGUGGAGGCGAGUUGUGCUUCCUGCUGGGAGAGAGAAGGGCCUUGGGAAGCUGCUCCAUGAGCCACAGCUGUGCCGAGCCCGGGAGUCUGUCCAGCAGGAUGUGGAGUGCCACCAUGUCCCCGAGGUCACCCUUUCUGCUGUUGGGAGAGCACGAGGUGGAUGGAGAGGAUCCCCAGGCAUCUGCAGGCACAAGGGACUCGUACAACUGCGAUUUUCCUCCAGCCCUCGUGAGAGGGACUUUUAGGAUCCUCUUGGGAAUGUGCCAGUUCUCCUGCUGGAGCUUUUCUAUGGAAUAUUUGAACACAAAGAGUAAAACUAAAGUCAGGGAAUAACUCCUGUCAGCAGCAAGGUCCCCACUGAAGUGGC